GAGCUAAAUUUGUAAUAUUAAACCAUUGAACACAGUAUAUUUUUCUUGGUGCUUUAUUGAAUAUUGGACAAAUAUGAACUUUCCCCACUUAUUGCAGUGUAAGAAUUUCACUAUUUUCUCCUAAGACCGGAUGUUUUAAGGAAAAUGUUUAUAUGCAACCUAAAGAGGAUAAUUUUCUUUAAAACAUAUCAAAAAAUAAAAUAUGUAGCCUAGUCCUGAUUUUGAGUAAAUUUGAUUUCUUUUUUAUUCAAAAUGGUCUAAGGGAGAUAACUCCUUCCAAGAAACAUAACUUUCUCUUACAUAACAACAGUUGCCUUGUGACUGAAAAACAUCCAAAGGCGUUAUUUUAAUAGAAUUAAACAUAGCUAUGCCAUUUUCUAUCUUUUUUAUGAAAAUACAGAGUGGUUCCUAUUUAAUUAAAACGAAUAAAUAGUAUAAAGACUAUAUUUUCUUAAUUCACCCCUGAACUGCAAUGUUUACAAUUACUCAUUUCCUGUUUGCAAAGAUUUUGCAUCUGCUGUGUUUUAUUAGAUAUUACACAGUUUUAUUCCGUUUUUACUGUUACGGGAGUCCAUAUCUUCUUUAAGAAGAUACUGUGCAUGAUGUCGAAAUAUUUUGGAACAUUUUUAGACAAAGGCGAGUCCUUUCACAACUUUUCCAGUGGCAUGUCAUGAACAAUCAAUGCCUUGUUGAUGUGUAUAUAUACCAUGCUACCGAGUUCGAUGCCAGUAAAGAAGCUUGAGAAGUCCUGUUGUUGAAGACCAGCUAGACAGACAAUAAGACUGCAACUCAUACAUUGAAUAGAAGCACCAAGAUUACAUAGACAAUAUCAUUCAUUGUCAAUGUCCAUGACUGCAUGAGCAAGAAAUGAAGCAUGACAUAACUUGAUAUAAACUUCUAAGGACAUUUUUGUAUGUGUGGCUUUUCACUUGACUGUCUUAUGACUGUGUGGCACAGUGUCAUGUUUAUUGGAAUAAAUCAAAGAAAACAGUGUACAUGGUGUAUGUACCCUCUAUCCACUGUGAAAAGGAAGAGCAAUAACAGGAGUAUCCAGGCAUGACCAAAACAGAAAGAUCCCUAGACCAUGGAGAAAUAGUAUUUCUAAUUACCAGUGUUACCCACAGUCUACCAAGAAAACUAGUACUGAAUAAGGUUUCACACACACACAAUGGUGGUUCAUGUGAAAGGAAGAAGUGAUUUGUUGGAGAAAGUUCUUGCUUGUCUUUAUCUAUAUAUAAAUGAUGUACAUUUUACAGUACACAGAACAUUGAGGGAUUGAUUGAAAGAAGCUUAAGAACACAGAACAGGAAUAUAUUUUUAUACGUGUAUAUACAAAGCAAAUAUUACAAAAAAAAU